CAACAGGGAUGAGAUGCCCCUUUCG
rnacentral:rRNA from 1 species